CAGACCUUACUGAAGAUGAUGUAGCAGCUCAAGCUCGUAGUGAUAAAUCUAUACAAGAUCUUGGAGAUGCACGAAGAAAAAUGUUAGACCCAGUUUUAGCAUUGUUAAUAAUCAAUAUUAUGAGCAACCCAAGGAGUCACA